UACGGAGGGUGCGAGCGUUGUCCGGAAUCAUUGGGCGUAAAGGGCGCGUAGGUGGCCCGGUCAGUUCGUGGUGAAAGCGCGGGGCUCAACCCUGCGUCGGCCAUGAAUACUGCCGCGGCUGGAGCACUGUAGAGGCAGGCGGAAUUCCGGGUGUAGCGGUGGAAUGCGUAGAGAUCCGGAAGAACACCGGUGGCGAAGGCGGCCUGCUGGGCAGUUAGCUGACACUGAGGUGCGAAAGCGUGGGGAGCAAACAGG
rnacentral:rRNA from 1 species